UUACGAAAUAUGUGUAUGUGUGUGUGUGCAGGAGGAUACAACAGGAUCUUAGACGAUCUCAGUACAGAAAAGUAUGACUCUGCAGAAGACACGUGGACCGUGAUCCCUGGCAUGAGCUUCAAUAUAAGAAACUUCAACGCAGAAGUCAUCGACGACACGAUCUUCGUGAUCGGUGGACGUUGCAAUGGGAAAACCGACUUAAGUGUCAAAUGUUGCAAAGACAAGGAAAAUCGAUGGUAUCCGGUGGCAAAGAUGAAUGUUCAUAGAAACCAUCUUUCGACUUGUGUCAUCAAGAACCUACCGAAUGCAAGAGAUUACGCAUACAAACACAGAGACAAAUUAAUGAAGAUGAAAAGCAAAACAUUUUUGGAUAGUUAAAAUCAGUAAUUUGCAGUUGAUUUCAACAACGACGAACACAUUAAUUUUAAUUAAGUACCUUAAGAAAAUAAUGUAAGAAACUGAGAAUUGAUGUAGGAUCUACAAAAAUUAAAUAAAAGGGAGAAAUAUUGUUUGCUGCAAAGAA